GAUGAACGCUGGCGGCGUGCUUAACACAUGUAAGUCGAACGAAGCACUUUAUUUGAUUUCCUUCGGGACUGAUUAUUUUGUGACUGAGUGGCGGACGGGUGAGUAACGCGUGGGUAACCUGCCUUGUACAGGGGGAUAACAGUUGGAAACGGCUGCUAAUACCGCAUAAGCGCACAGCAUCGCAUGAUGCAGUUUGAAAAACUCCGGUGGUAUAAGAUGGACCCGCGUUGGAUUAGCUAGUUGGUGAGGUAACGGCCCACCAAGGCGACGAUCCAUAGCCGGCCUGAGAGGGUGACCGGCCACAGUGGGACUGAGACACGGCCCAAACUCCUACGGGAGGCAGCAGUGGGGAAUAUUGCACAAUGGGCGAAAGCCUGAUGCAGCGACGCCGCGUGAGCGAAGAAGUAUUUAGGGAUGUAAAGCUCUAUCAGCAGGGAAGAUAAUGACGGUACCUGACUAAGAAGCACCGGCUAAAUACGUG
rnacentral:rRNA from 1 species